UACGUAGGGGGCAAGCGUUAUCCGGAUUUACUGGGUGUAAAGGGAGCGUAGACGGUGAGACAAGUCUGAAGUGAAAGCCCGGGGCUCAACCCCGGCCCGCCGUUGAAACUGGCUGGCUUGAGUUGGGGAAAGGCAGGCGGAAUGCGCGGUGUAGCGGUGAAAUGCAUAGAUAUCGCGCAGAACUCCGAUUGCGAAGGCAGCAUGCCGGCUCCACACUGACGCUGAGGCACGAAAGCGUGGGUAUCGAACAGG
rnacentral:rRNA from 1 species